AAGUACUUCUGUCUGGAUCCUUGUAGGUGGGCUGCUCUUAUUACGUUAAAAAAGUCUGAUUAUAUUUCCGAGGGAAGAUAUUCCAUCUAUGAUAGCAAGAAUGCACAGACUUUCUCUGUGACCAUCAAGGACCUCCAGUUGCAGGAUGCUGGUGUUUAUUACUGUGGACUUAAUCAGUAUGGUUUUGACACUUUAACCAAAGUUGUGCUGACAGUCAGUAAAGGUACGUAAUCCAGCCUCUCACUGCUGUGGGCGUAUGCUGCUGUGUUUCCUGUUUCCACCCGUGUGGUCAGCAUGUGCCCACCACUGACAGACCACUGACACUUGUUGCCAUGGUUACAGCUGUGUAGUAUGACUUGACAUCAUAAAUGGCACAUAGUGUGUGUGUGUGUGUGUGCUGUGUCCAUCAUAGUGUGUGUGUGUGUAUGUGUGUGUGUGUGUGUGUGUGUGCUGUGUCUUCCUUGUGGUUCACUGCAUUCUGUGUUUGUUCAGAGGUCAAUAAAGGUCAUUCCCGGGGUGGUGCAGUGAAUGGGAUAUGGGACCCUGACGUUUAACCAGAGAUCUUUGUGUCCACACACACACACACACACACACACACACACACACACACACACACACGCGCGUGUCCGUCUCUGUUCUUCUGGGGUCCCUCGCCACAAUAGAGUUCACUGUGUGUGUUUUUAAUCAUGGUUUCCUGUGAGUUUGUUUAUUCUUUGUUUAUUUCUGUUGUCUGUGUCUCAGCUCCACCACCAGGGCCUCCUCCAUCCACCUCUAACCCCCCCACCCACCUACAGGACUACACAACCAGCAGCACUCCAACUCAACCCUCUACAGUGUCUCUAGCUGUUCUGGUUUCCUGUGUGCUGCUGUUUCUGGUGAUUCUCUACAGGAAGAGAAGUGUUGAUGCACCAGUACAGGGUGAGACACUAAUACAAAUAGAGUUAGCAAUGCCCCUCUAAAAUAUAAACGCUAAUAUUCUGGUACGAUAGAAAAUAAAUAUCUUUGCAGUAUCA
rnacentral:lncRNA from 1 species